AUUGAACGCUGGCGGCAGGCCUAACACAUGCAAGUCGAACGGUAACAGGAAGCAGCUUGCUGCUUUGCUGACGAGUGGCGGACGGGUGAGUAAUGUCUGGGAAACUGCCCGAUGGAGGGGGAUAACUACUGGAAACGGUAGCUAAUACCGCAUAACGUCGCAAGACCAAAGAGGGGGACCUUAGGGCCUCUUGCCAUCGGAUGUGCCCAGAUGGGAUUAGCUAGUAGGUGGGGUAACGGCUCACCUAGGCGACGAUCCCUAGCUGGUGUGAGAGGAUGACCCGCCACACUGGAACGGAGACACGGUCCAGACUCCUACGGGAGGCAGCAGUGGGGAAUAUUGCACAAAGGGCGCAAUCCUGAUGCAGCCAUGCCGCGUGUAUGAAGAAGGCCUUCGGGUUGUAAAGUACUUUCAGCGGGGAGGAAGGGAGUAAAGUUAAUACCUUUGCUCAUUGACGUUACCCGCAGAAGAAGCACCGGCUAACUCCGUG
rnacentral:rRNA from 1 species